GAUGAACGCUAGCUACAGGCUUAACACAUGCAAGUCGAGGGGAAACGCCAUCGAAAGCUUGCUUUUGAUGGGCGUCGACCGGCGCACGGGUGAGUAACGCGUAUCCAACCUGCCCACCACUUGGGGAUAACCUUGCGAAAGUAAGACUAAUACCCGAUGAUAUCUCUAUAAGACAUCUGAAAGGGAUUAAAGAUUUAUCGGUGAUGGAUGGGGAUGCGUCUGAUUAGCUUGUUGGCGGGGUAACGGCCCACCAAGGCGACGAUCAGUAGGGGUUCUGAGAGGAAGGUCCCCGACAUUGGAACUGAGCCACGGUCCAAACCCCUACGGGAGGCAGCAGUGAGGAAUAUUGGUCAAUGGGCGAGAGCCUGAACCAGCCAAGUAGCGUGCAGGAUGACGGCCCUAUGGGUUGUAAACUGCUUUUAUAAGGGAAUAAAGUGAGUCUCGUGAGACUUUUUGCAUGUACCUUAUGAAUAAGGACCGGCUAAUUCCGUG
rnacentral:rRNA from 1 species